rnacentral:rRNA from 1 species
GUCGAGGGGUAUGCUUCUUCGGGAGCAGAGACCGGCGCACGGGUGCGUAACGCGUAUGCAAUCUACCUUUUACAGAGGGAUAGCCCAGAGAAAUUUGGAUUAAUACCUCAUAGUAUAAUAGCUCGGCAUCGAGCAAUUAUUAAAGUCACAACGGUAAAAGAUGAGCAUGCGUCCCAUUAGCUAGUUGGUAAGGUAACGGCUUACCAAGGCUACGAUGGGUAGGGGUCCUGAGAGGGAGAUCCCCCACACUGGUACUGAGACACGGACCAGACUCCUACGGGAGGCAGCAGUGAGGAAUAUUGGACAAUGGGCGCAAGCCUGAUCCAGCCAUGCCGCGUGCAGGAUGACGGUCCUAUGGAUUGUAAACUGCUUUUGUACAGGAAGAAACAGUUCUACGUGUAGAACCUUGACGGUACUGUAAGAAUAAGGAUCGGCUAACUCCGUGCCAGCAGCCGCGGUAAUACGGAGGAUCCAAGCGUUAUCCGGAAUCAUUGGGUUUAAAGGGUCCGUAGGCGGUUUAAUAAGUCAGUGGUGAAAGCCCAUCGCUCAACGGUGGAACGGCCAUUGAUACUGUUAAACUUGAAUUAUUAGGAAGUAACUAGAAUAUGUAGUGUAGCGGUGAAAUGCUUAGAGAUUACAUGGGAAUACCAAUUGCGAAAGGCAGGUUACUACUAAUUGAUUGACGCUGAUGG